UGGGGAAUAUUGGACAAUGGGGGCAACCCUGAUCCAGCAAUGCCGCGUGUGUGAAGAAGGUCUUCGGAUUGUAAAGCACUUUCGACGGGGACGAUGAUGACGGUACCCGUAGAAGAAGCCCCGGCUAACUUCGUGCCAGCAGCCGCGGUAAUACGAAGGGGGCUAGCGUUGCUCGGAAUGACUGGGCGUAAAGGGCGUGUAGGCGGUUUACACAGUCAGAUGUGAAAUCCCCGGGCUUAACCUGGGAGCUGCAUUUGAUACGUGUAGACUAGAGUGUGAGAGAGGGUUGUGGAAUUCCCAGUGUAGAGGUGAAAUUCGUAGAUAUUGGGAAGAACAUCGGUGGCGAAGGCGGCAACCUGGCUCAUGACUGACGCUGAGGCGCGAAAGCGUGGGGAGCAAACAGGAUUAGAUACC
rnacentral:rRNA from 1 species